rnacentral:lncRNA from 1 species
GAUUUUGAGUGGUUGGGUCUGAAAUUUUAGGUUGUGGGUUUGGGAUUUUAGUUACGGGUUACGGGCUUGGAUCUUGGGAUUUUCACCAUGUGGCAUAUUCGGUCAGUAAUUUGAAAGGAUUUAAGGGGGAUUGGUUCAAAUUGAUAAAAAUUACUCAAAAGGUUAAGGGUUAAAGUGACAAAUGUUCUAGUUUAAGGGUCAAAGUGGAAAUUGAUCAAUACUUUAAGUAGGCUCAGUGUAGUUUAAACCCCCAAAUUGUAAAAAUCUUGUUGGUUGGGAUUUCGAA